GACGAACGCUGGCGGCGUGCCUAAUACAUGCAAGUUGAGCGCUGAAGGUUGGUACUUGUACCAACUGGAUGAGCAGCGAACGGGUGAGUAACGCGUGGGGAAUCUGCCUUUGAGCGGGGGACAACAUUUGGAAACGAAUGCUAAUACCGCAUAAAAACUUUAAACACAAGUUUUAAGUUUGAAAGAUGCAAUUGCAUCACUCAAAGAUGAUCCCGCGUUGUAUUAGCUAGUUGGUGAGGUAAAGGCCCACCAAGGCGAUGAUACAUAGCCGACCUGAGAGGGUGGUCGGCCACCUUUGGACUGGGGCACCGCCCCAGCUUCUACGGGAGGCAGCAGUAGGGGAUCUUCGGCAAUGGACGGAAGUCUGACCGAGCAACGCCGCGUGAGUGAAUGAGGUUUUCGGAUCGGAAAACUCUGUUGGUAGGGAAGAACGUUGGUGAGAGUGGAAAGCUCAUCAAGUGACGGUAACUACCCAGAAAGGGACGGCUAACUACGUG
rnacentral:rRNA from 1 species